ACACCCAUUUUUGGGUACUGGGGAUCGAUCAAAGCAGGGAACCAAGGGUGAAACCCUUGUUCACCAAAUUCAACCAAAUUGGGUAGAAAAUUAGAAGAUAAUCAACUGCAUGAACUCGAAUCUACACCUAUCUAAGCUCGAUUUUGAAAAGGCGUAAAGGAAGAAGGACCCAAAACUAGGAAAUCGGAAGGUUCACAAGAUCGAGGAUGGAAAUCUCGUCAGUUGAUUCAAGUAUGGAUGGUAAACGGGGUAAGAGGAAGCAAUGAGGCAAAUAUGAACCUGAACACUAAAGGUAAGUGAUUUUGCAAUCACUUCAAAUAUAUCUACAUGAAGGUGUAUACAUGUUUGCAUAUUCGAAAUCAAAGUGAAAUGUAUAAAUAAAUUAGAAAUGUUAUGGUACAUUUUGUUGAAAUUGUUGGCAUAAUGUUAAACCGAUAAGACCUCAUUAUAAGGGUAAAUCGGUCAUAAAUUUUAGUUGAGAAAUUCUAAGACGGGAAUGAAAACUUGGCAAUGUUGAUGAAAGCUAUGGAAAGAAUAUUAGUCGGGAUGUUAGCUAAAGACAUUUUGUAAAGAUGAUUCGAAUUGAAAGUAAGUACAACGCGUACAACAAUACUUAGAUACAAUAAGUACUAAGUGUGAUUAAUUUUAAAAGGUCAAAUUGUAGAAGACAGUAAAUCAUAAUUACUUACAAUUGCUAGAAGUAUUACGUAAGAAAUGACAUGGUAAAGGAUACGACAGAAGAACGAAAGGUACAGAUGAAAAUGCUAGAAUCUGAGAAAUGAAUUCAAACUGGUAAGAAUGAAAGGUAAGUAAUUAAAAGUUCGAAUCCGUAAGUGAAGACGGAUUGAACAAGUGAGAAUAAAAAGUAAGUACCAGACGCAAAUCAGUUAUACGGGUCAAAUGGCGAUCGCCAUUUGAACCCGGUAUUUAAUGUUUGGCUUGUCAAGUUUAUUACUUAUAGGUGAGCAUAAUGUAUGGGCAUGCAUUGUCACAGUUUGGAAAACAUUAACCAUCGCAAAGUAUAAAUAACGAGUCAAGGAUUUUGACCCGCGCCAGGUACGUAUAAAAAGAUUAUAUUUUUAAUAAGAGCUUAGGGCUCGACUAGAGAAUGAUGUGUCAGAAUAGGAUAACUGAUACCCAUAUGUAAGAAUGUAUUUACAAUUAGACUUCCGAAAAGUCAAACGAAAUAAAUGAAGUCCUUGCAAUUAUGCAAGUAUAAGAUACGAACGUGUACCUCGAUGCAACCACAAUAGGUAAAGGGGCGUUAGUCUGAUCGUGAAAGGUCAAACUGUGAAAGUUGACGAAAUAACCAAUAAAAUGAAAGGAUAGUAUGUAAGAAAUGGAAUGUAAGAAAUGUUUUAGCAUGUACGUAAGAAAAUUGUGAAAGAGCCAAUAGGCGAACAAAUACCAUGUAGGGUGCAAUUAUGAAAAGUUAUGUGCUAACAAUUUAUUCAUAGAUAAAUAUAAUGAAAUUCUUCGUGAGAUGAUAGUAAUGAAGCUAGUGGAAGGAUGCUCACGAGUGGGAGCAUAUUUUAUGAAUGAAUGAGACCAAUUCUGGUACGGGAGGUACAUAUAAAGAAGCGGAUCAAUCCGGCACACGGAUAACUGACUUAUGCAUUGAAGGCGAGGCGUAAAGGAAGAAGGACCCAAAACUAGGAAAUCGGAAGGUUCACAAGAUCGAGGUAAAACUCCACUUUAGGCGAAUUGGAGAUAUGGAGCGAGCACGUGUCCAUGCCUUAUUAUACCAAGCGCUUCCGCUAGAUAUAUGCACACUUUUGGGUCCAUGUCUUGUUAAUUUGUUUAAUCUUGUUAGAAGUCAUACACUUAAAAACUUGUUGUCUUCGUUUUGGGAAGUUUAAAGUUAAAUGGGUCGUAGAUUGUCGUUAGUUUAAUAACUUAAAAAAAAACAGGGGGCAUGCUCGUUUUACGAACGGGUCAUGCCCAAUUUUUGUAAGGAUUUCGUUAUGUAUUAAGUUUUUGGU
rnacentral:lncRNA from 1 species